ensembl:lncRNA
UGAACUUUUCUUACUCAAAUUUGGAAUACUUUCCAGGAAGAUAAAAUACUUUAUGAUUUUGAGUAAUAUAGUUUGCAGUGUUUUCUUUGGGUUUUUUAUUUUUGUUUUUCCGAUAACUCUUUUAGGAGGAAAGACAGUUAAGUGAUGAUCUUGCAGUUGCAAAUUUCAAAGAUGAUGUUGGCCAUCUGGCUUCUGAUUCCUUCUAUUUCUACUUACACAAAAGUUGUGUUGUUUUUUUUUAAGAUGCUGUGCCACAAAGCAUCUAAUCAAAUCUUAAUCAAAUUUAUUGUUUAAAAACAAAUGAAAUCCUACACUUGAAGCCUAGAAAAAGUAGCUCGUUUCAACACUGCACUUCCAAAAUCGUAAUUGGUCCCAGAUGUUUGAUUAUAAGCCGUAUUUUAGAAAAUAGAAGGAAGAGAACCACACAUGCAUUAAAUGCCAAAUGGGUGAUUUGAGUGAUGUGUCAUCUAAUGAAUUUUCAGAACAGCCCUGAGAGGUAGUAAGGACAGUGAAGCUCAGAAAGGCUAAGUGUCUUGCCCAAAGUCACACAGCUAGUAACUUCCAAAUAGAGUUCUGAUACCUCUAUAAUGCACACUCUUCCCACUACGCUGAUUUUCAUAUUUAAAGAUAUUCAUGCGUAACAAGACACAUUCAGGAGGAAAAGUUUUUCAGGAACAACCCCUUAGAGGUCAUCUAGCUCAGUUUCCCAAAUGCUGCCAGAAUCACUCUUACCACAUCUAUGAAGGCCAACCAGCCAACUUUGGCUUAAACCCUUCCAGGGAGAGGGAGCACCAUAGUUUUCUCUAUAGCAUGACCUGUUGUUAAACAGCCAUGGUUGUUAUAAGUGAAUUAAAAUCUGCAUUCCUAUAAUUUGUCACUAAGCCACUUUUCUCAAUCAAUUCAAAAUAUGUUUACUCAUUUCACAUGCCAGCCUUUCAAAUGGAUAACUAUUAAAUGCUCUCUACAUCUUCUUCAGACUAAACAGCCCAGAUCCUUCAACCAUCCUUAAGAAUAGUUUCCAGAUCUCUCAGAAUACUGACUCACCUUUGGACACAGUGGUUUGUGUAUCCCUUAUCAAUUAUGGUGACCACAAUGAGCAUUGAGACAUGUUGUGAUUUCCCUGGAAUAGUCUUCAUAAGGAUGCAUCUGUAUUUCUAUUAAUUUCUGUAUUAAUAGAAAUCUUCAUAAGCUGGUUUAGCAGUUCUAUUUCCUGCUUUUCAGCAACUCUGUGUCUAGUCAUUGCUUAGAGUAACCAUUUGGCUAAGACAGAAGUCUCUAAUUUCUGUGAUGAUUCAAUCUGGUGACUCAAUAAUGCUUAGAGAAAACUGUAGCUGAAGAGCACCUCACUGACCUCUCCUUUAGUUGACCGGGAUGGGAGUAGAAGGUGUGAAUCCCUUAUUUUUUUCACCCUUUAGAGAAUUUUGACCUAAAUGUAUAUGUUAGUUGUCUAUUGCUACAAAACAAAUUACCCCAGAACUGUGAGUCAGAAUUUAGGGAGCAGCUUAGCUGGUGGCUCUGGUUGGAGUCUCUCAUGAAUUGCGGUCAGGAUUUCAGCUGGCAUUCCGCUCUCUGAAGGCUUGAUUGGAGCUGGAGGAUCUACUUUAAGGUGCCUCACUCACCACUGGCAAGUUGAACUGGUUAUUGGUGUGACGUUUCGGUUCCUCCCCAUGUGGGUCUCUCCACGGGACUGCUUGAGUGUCCUCACAACAUGGUAGCUGGAUUCGCCCAAAAUGAGGGAUCCAAGAGACAAAGACAGAAGCAACAAUGCCUUUCAUCACUUAAGUCUCGGAUAUCAUGUACUGUAACCUGCAGGGUGCUCUGUUGGUCACAAAGACCAACCUGAGUCAAUGUGGGAGGAGAAUACAUACGAGCGUGAAUACCAGGAGACCAGCCCUGAGCCAACUGCUGCCAAUCCUCCUCUUUUUGCUGAGGAAGACUGGCCCUGAGCUAACAUCCAUGCCCAUCUUCCUCUAGUUGAUAUGUGGGACGCCUACUACAGCAUGGCUUGCCAAGCGGUGCCAUGUCCGCACCUGGGAUCCGAACUGGUGAACCCAGGGCCACCGAAGCGGAAUGUGCACACCCAACCGCUGUGCCACUGGGCUGGCCCAAUGAUUUUCUUUAUUUAAAACAUUUUUUCAUUUUAAAAGAAAUUUUAAUCUAAUUUGUAUAAUCUCAUAAUCCUAACUUAGCAACUAUAAUUAUUUUUUAUCUCUUCCAAUUUUCACUAUAUAUGUUACAUAUUUGUAAUGAAUUCAUGUUUAUGUAUAUAGUUUUAUG